rnacentral:rRNA from 1 species
GCUCAGAACGAACGCUGGCGGCGUGGAUAAGACAUGCAAGUCGAACGAGAGAAUUGCUAGCUUGCUAAUAAUUCUCUAGUGGCGCACGGGUGAGUAACACGUGAGUAACCUGCCCCCGAGAGCGGGAUAGCCCUGGGAAACUGGGAUUAAUACCGCAUAGUAUCGAAAGAUUAAAGCAGCAAUGCGCUUGGGGAUGGGCUCGCGGCCUAUUAGUUAGUUGGUGAGGUAACGGCUCACCAAGGCGAUGACGGGUAGCCGGUCUGAGAGGAUGUCCGGCCACACUGGAACUGAGACACGGUCCAGACACCUACGGGUGGCAGCAGUCGAGAAUCAUUCACAAUGGGGGAAACCCUGAUGGUGCGACGCCGCGUGGGGGAAUGAAGGUCUUCGGAUUGUAAACCCCUGUCAUGUGGGAGCAAAUUAAAAAGAUAGUACCACAAGAGGAAGAGACGGCUAACUCUGUGCCAGCAGCCGCGGUAAUACAGAGGUCUCAAGCGUUGUUCGGAAUCACUGGGCGUAAAGCGUGCGUAGGCUGUUUCGUAAGUCGUGUGUGAAAGGCGCGGGCUCAACCCGCGGACGGCACAUGAUACUGCGAGACUAGAGUAAUGGAGGGGGAACCGGAAUUCUCGGUGUAGCAGUGAAAUGCGUAGAUAUCGAGAGGAACACUCGUGGCGAAGGCGGGUUCCUGGACAUUAACUGACGCUGAGGCACGAAGGCCAGGGGAGCGAAAGGGAUUAGAUACCCCUGUAGUCCUGGCAGUAAACGGUGCACGCUUGGUGUGCGGGGAAUCGACCCCCUGCGUGCCGGAGCUAACGCGUUAAGCGUGCCGCCUGGGGAGUACGGUCGCAAGAUUAAAACUCAAAGAAAUUGACGGGGACCCGCACAAGCGGUGGAGUAUGUGGCUUAAUUCGAUGCAACGCGAAGAACCUUACCUGGGCUUGACAUGUAAUGAACAACAUGUGAAAGCAUGCGACUCUUCGGAGGCGUUACACAGGUGCUGCAUGGCCGUCGUCAGCUCGUGUCGUGAGAUGUUUGGUUAAGUCCAGCAACGAGCGCAACCCCUGUUGCCAGUUACCAGCACGUGAAGGUGGGGACUCUGGCGAGACUGCCCAGAUCAACUGGGAGGAAGGUGGGGACGACGUCAGGUCAGUAUGGCCCUUAUGCCCAGGGCUGCACACGUACUACAAUGCCCAGUACAGAGGGGGCCGAAGCCGCGAGGCGGAGGAAAUCCUAAAAACUGGGCCCAGUUCGGACUGUAGGCUGCAACCCGCCUACACGAAGCCGGAAUCGCUAGUAAUGGCGCAUCAGCUACGGCGCCGUGAAUACGUUCCCGGGUCUUGUACACACCGCCCGUCACAUCAUGGAAGCCGGUCGCACCCGAAGUAUCUGAAGCCAACCGCAAGGAGGC